CGGUGCUGUGGAGGGGGCUGGGCUCGAACGGGGUAUCCAGGCGAGGGUGGGUGGAGAUGCAGCCCCGCCCAGCCGGGACCUUUCUCUGGGGAACCGGCAAGGCGACCUCUGGAGCCAGUUGGCUGGGAGCUGCUGUGUUGGCACCCUCCAGGCAGCGGAGGCAGGGCCGGGUGUGGCUCCCUGCCCUUCAGGGGGUGGGGGGCUGCUCAGGGCCCCCAGGUAGCCAGAGGCUGGUGCCUGGGGGUACUGGUAAGUUUACCACUCAAGCUGGUCCCUUUCCCAUACAGGGCUCUUUGAUCUGGGAUACUGCAAAGGCGGACCCGAAAGGCCUCUGCCUGUUCACACAUCUUUCCCCCACAAACUCUGAGGGUCUCUUGGGUCCUUUCUUAGCAGAAAUUCAACUCAGCUCCCCUCCCCAAUCACCACGUCUUCACUCCUUUUAAAUAUCUUUCCCCUUCAGGGGAGAGGGCAGGGAGUCCCCAGAUGUGGGAGAAGUGGUGAGAGUGGUGGCUCUGUGAGUUUCAUUUGGAUGAAUUACUUAAAGCCAGAGUCUCCUCUGUGAACUUGAAGAUACUGUUCAUUCAUUCACUGAACAAAUUUGUCUCCUCUGUGUGCCAAGCUCUGUGUUGGGCACGGAGUAUACAACAGUGAAUGGAACAUAUUCCCUGCCUACGUUCCAGAACGAGGAUACAGCUCAAGAUGCCUUGGAGAGAGAAAACCAAGCAGAUAUGCCACAUCAGCAGCUGUAUAUGAGUCUGGAAGCUCCGAGAGAGGCAUGGGCUGGAAAGGUCGAUAUUGACAUUGUCAACACACAAGGGACACUCAAAGACCUAGAAACAGAUGUGAAAUGAGAAUGAGAGGUGAGCUGGGGCUGAAGCCCUGAGGAAUCCAAACCCCUAGGGGAAGAGAGGGAAGUAGGACCUGGCGAAGAAGACUAGGGAAGAGCAGUCAGCACAGCAGGAAGAAGUCAAGAACAUGUUGUCCUGGAAUCCGAGAGAGGAUAUUUCAAGAAGGGAGUGGCCACCCCGACAGAUGAGGACUAACAUCUGUCCUCCGGAUUUGGGAGCAUGGGCAUCACAGAUGGUCAAAGCAAGAGCAAUGCCUGUGGAGGGGGUGAAGGCAGAAGUGGACCAGACGGGGUUGACGAAAGGCACUUUUUCUAGAGCCAAACUGCUGGGUUCAAACCCUGGUUCUGCUGGUUGCUGGCUGUGCACCCCUGGGCACAAGUUAAGCCGCUUGACCUAACCUCUCAGUGUUUCAGCUCUGCUUGUGAAAUGGGACUAACAGCAUACUUACCUCAUAGGCAGUUAUGAAAAUAUAACAGAAUUGCUCAGGCUGCCUGGCACCACGUAUUCUUAGUGUCAGCAGUUACUGCUAUUAAUCACUACUGUUAAUUUUUAAAAGACAGACAAGGCUCUUUCUCGUCCCAUGUCCCUCCUUCCUCUUCCUGAACAAUUCAGACCUAAAGCCAUGAGAUGGGGCGAGGGCGGUACCCAUGGCAGGUGUCAGAGCCCCAGCCGAGUGGAGGGUGUUCACAGUGGGGUUGGCCUGGUGCCAGGGCAGAGGCAGGAGAGCAUCCCGGCAGGGACAGGGUAGGGGCAACUUUAUGAUGGAGGGGCCUGCAGACACGAUCUUGAUGAAGUGCUUAAAGAAACACCACCAGUUACAGGUCAAACUGAAAUUGUGCAUCACCUGAGAAGAACAGGGCAUCACAUCUUGUUGAUAUUUCUGCAAAAUCUGAAUCUAGUCCUGAGGAAACAUCACACAAACCCAAAUAGAAGGACAGCUACAGGAUAACUGCCCGAAUCUUCAGAAGUGUCAAGGUCAUGUCAGGGAAAGACUGAGGAACUGCUCCAGACACAACAGAUUGCAGAGACAGGGCAACCAAAUGCCACAUGUGGUUCUGAAGUGGAUCUCUUCGCUGGGACAAUGGAUGAAACCUGAGUGGGGUCUGAGCUUUGGAUGGUAGUGAUGUAUCCGUGUUAAUCUCCUGACUUUGACGGUUGGGUCCCGGUUGUACUGGAGAAUAAAGGAAGCCACUGCCAAGGA